UUUUCACGUGCCAAAAUCAUUUCACAGGAGCUUGACUUUCCUGAGUUUAUUUUUUAAUCAAUCCUUUUGCUCGUAAACGUUCCAUUUCGAGAAAUAAACGACUUUGAAGAUCUUGGAGCUCAAAUCCGAACGAAGAUCGAAUUUUGAACAUUUUUUUCGUCAGUAUUUUCUGUGCUAUUACGAAAUACUCUCGGGCUUGAAAAACAGUAAGAGCGAGUGGAAUGAAAAAAAUUCGGUGUUUCUCGAGUCGUAAUGAAUCAGGUGGUAGCGUGAAGGGCGGUCGAUUCUGCGCGUCGUCGUGCACAACGACCGUGACUACUGCGGUGAACUUGGUUGCUUCAACCGGCGAAUAUUCCCUCGGGUGCGAGAUAUUUAUUUUGCAAUUUAUACAGGCAGACACACGUUAACCAAACGCCUCGAUCUUCGUAUUCAUAGUGGGGGAGCUCGAGUGCAGGGAAUUCGUGCAUUCGAAGUCGGUUCGGAAAUUGGUCGGGAUCUUCGCCAGGGUCGCCGAACUCGAGACUCAAAAUGGAUCUGCGUUGGAGCAAGAAGAACGUGAGCUCGAGUCUUCCGAUGGAUUUCUGGGAGCGGAGAGGGGAAAAGAGCAGCGCACACGCGCAGGAAGUGACGGAGUUUUGCGCCCAGAGAAUUUUUACCAUGCUCCUUCGGACACGCUCACGUGUUGCUGUAUGCUUUCCCGGCGAUAGAGUCGCGUGCACGCGCGUGCAAAUCCCAUAUAACAAACGUACACGAGAAAUAUGUAAAUGGGGAAGAAAAGUACGAAGCCUCGGAUAAACUGAUCGUUGAGAGCAACGAAGACUCUUCUCCAGCUCUCUCUCUUUCUCUCUCCCUCUCC